rnacentral:rRNA from 1 species
AUGGCCCCUAAUAGAGCCCCUGGACCCGAUAAUAUCCCUGUUGAGUUCUAUCAGGUGUGCUGGAAUAUAGUUAAAGAUGACAUUAUGGCCCUUUUUAAAGCCUUCCACCAAGGGACACUGGAUGCUCAGAGACUUAAUUAUGGAGUUAUUACUCUGCUCCCUAAAGUUUCUGGAGCCGAGAAAAUCCAGCAAUACAGGCCUAUUUGCUUGUUGAGAUGCCCAUAUAAGUUGAUCACCAAAGUCCUUGACCGAAGAGUUGCUAUAUAUGCAAACAAACUCAUUAGCCCUACUCAGAACGCCUUUGUAAAAGGGAGAAAUAUCAUGGACGGUGUCCUGUCCCUCCAUGAAAUUCUUAACUACACUUAUGUUAAGAAGAAAGUGGGAAUUGUCCUUAAGUUGGACUUUGAAAAAGCCUAUGAUAAGGUGAAUUGGGACUUUCUCCUAGAAUGCCACAAGAUGCGGGGCUUUGAUAAUACUUGGUGCGGAUGGAUUGAACAGAUACUGCAUAAUGGGACAGUUAGCAUCAAGCUUAAUGGUAGUGUUGGGCCGUAUUUUCAAAGCAAAAAAGGGGUAAGGCAGGGGGACCCACACUCUCCUUUCCUGUUCAAUCUAGCAGUUGAAUGCCUCACUAAAAUGAUCAAACAUGCCCAAAAAAAACUUAUUGUGGGCUUAGCUGCCGACCUUAUUCCUGAUGGGGUGGCGGUCCUGCAAUAUGCGGAUGAUACAAUCAUUUGUAUUGAA